GAAUUCGCCCUUAGAGUUUGAUCCUGGCUCAGGAUGAACGCUGGCGGCGUGCCUAACACAUGCAAGUCGAACGGAGCUGCUUUGAUGAAGUUUUCGGAUGGAUUUAAAACAGCUUAGUGGCGGACGGGUGAGUAACGCGUGGGUAACCUGCCUCACACUGGGGGAUAACAGUUAGAAAUAGCUGCUAAUACCGCAUAAGCGCACGGUUCCGCAUGGAACAGUGUGAAAAACUCCGGUGGUGUGAGAUGGACCCGCGUCUGAUUAGCCAGUUGGUGAGGUAACGGCCCACCAAGGCGACGAUCCAUAGCCGACCUGAGAGGUUGAACGGCCACAUUGGGACUGAGACACGGCCCAGACUCCUACGGGAGGCAGCAGUGGGGAAUAUUGCACAAUGGGGGAAACCCUGAUGCAGCGACGCCGCGUGGAGGAAGAAGGUCUUCGGAUUGUAAACUCCUGUUGUUGAGGAAGAUAAUGACGGUACUCAACAAGGAAGUGACGGCUAACUACGUGCCAGCAGCCGCGGUAAAACGUAGGUCACAAGCGUUGUCCGGAAUUACUGGGUGUAAAGGGAGCGCAGGCGGGAAGACAAGUUGGAAGUGAAAUCUAUGGGCUCAACCCAUAAACUGCUUUCAAAACUGUUUUUCUUGAGUAGUGCAGAGGUAGGCGGAAUUCCCGGUGUAGCGGUGGAAUGCGUAGAUAUCGGGAGGAACACCAGUGGCGAAGGCGGCCUACUGGGCACCAACUGACGCUGAGGCUCGAAAGUGUGGGUAGCAAACAGGAUUAGAUACCCUGGUAGUCCACACCGUAAACGAUGAUUACUAGGUGUUGGAGGAUUGACCCCUUCAGUGCCGCAGUUAACACAAUAAGUAAUCCACCUGGGGAGUACGACCGCAAGGUUGAAACUCAAAGGAAUUGACGGGGGCCCGCACAAGCAGUGGAGUAUGUGGUUUAAUUCGACGCAACGCGAAGAACCUUACCAAGUCUUGACAUCCCUUGACGAACAUAGAAAUAUGUUUUCUCUUCGGAGCAAGGAGACAGGUGGUGCAUGGUUGUCGUCAGCUCGUGUCGUGAGAUGUUGGGUUAAGUCCCGCAACGAGCGCAACCCUUACUGUCAGUUACUACGCAAGAGGACUCUGGCAGGACUGCCGUUGACAAAACGGAGGAAGGUGGGGAUGACGUCAAAUCAUCAUGCCCUUUAUGACUUGGGCUACACACGUACUACAAUGGCGUUAAACAAAGAGAAGCAAGACCGCGAGGUGGAGCAAAACUCAGAAACAACGUCCCAGUUCGGACUGCAGGCUGCAACUCGCCUGCACGAAGUCGGAAUUGCUAGUAAUCGUGGAUCAGCAUGCCACGGUGAAUACGUUCCCGGGCCUUGUACACACCGCCCGUCA
rnacentral:rRNA from 1 species